AAACGUGUCACUGCUUCCACAUUUUCCCCUUUUAUUUGCCAUGAAGUGAUGGGAAUGGAUGCCAUAUUAGUUUUUUGAAUGUUGAGUUUUAAGCCAACUUUUUCACUCUCCUCUUUCACUCUCAUCAAAAGGCUCUUUACUUCCUCUUUACCUUCUGCCAUUAGAAUGGUAUCAUCUGCAUAUUUGAGGUUGAUUAUUUCUCCCGGUAGUCUUUAUUCCAGCUUGUGAUUUAUCUAGCCUGGCAUUUCACAUGAAGUACUCUGCAUAUAAGCUAAAUAAGCAAGGUGACAAUAUACAGCCUUGUCAUAUUCCUUUGUCAAUUUUGAACCAGUCUGUUGCUUCAUGUCUGAUUCUAACUGUUGCUUCUUGACCUGCAUACAGGUCGCAGUAAGGGUUUGCAACCAAUUUGCACUGUCAGAAGAAAAGCACUGGAUGGAGCCGAAAGAGGAGUGUAGCCACCAUCAUGGAUGCAGGCAUCAGCCAUACAUUCUAGUUAUUGCCGGAGUGAAAGUGGAAGUCAAGAGGUUUAGGAAAAGCGACUAGAGAGUCCAUAGUUUUCAUGAUCAUCAAAGGUCCUUGCUGCUGCUACUGCUAAAUCGCUUCAGUCGUGUCCGACUCUGUGCGGCCCCACAGACGGCAGCUCACCAGGCUCCGCCGUCCCUGGGAUUCUCCAGGCAAGAACACUGGAGUGGGUUGCCAUUUCCUUCUCCAAUGCAUGAAGGUGAAAAGUGAAAGUGAAGUCACUCAGUAAGUGCCGACUCUUCGUGACCCCAUGGACUAGAGCCUACCAGGCUCCUCCAUCCAUGGGAUUUUCCAGGCAAGAGUACUGGAGUGGGUUGCCAUUGCCUUCUCCUCAAAGGUCCUUAUCCCCCUAAAAAGUUAACAAUUGUUGAUUUAAGGAGUCUUUGUUCAUGGAAAAUCCAGUGUGCCAAUAAAAUGCAAUACGACUUUGAAUUAAAAGAUUUGGGAGAAUGGCAUUGAAACAUGUAAAAUAUCAUGUAUGAAACGAGAUGCCAGUCCAGGUUCAAUGCACGAUACUGGAUGCUUGGGCCUAGUGCACUAGGAUGACCCAGAGGGAUGGUAUGGGGAGGGAGGUGGGAGGAGGGUUCAGGAUGGGGAACACAUGUAUACCUGUGGCGGAUUCAUUUUGAUAUUUGGCAAAACUAAUACAAUUAUGUAAAGUUUAAAAAUAAAAU
ensembl:lncRNA